AGUCGUGGGGGUAUAACGUAAGGAAAGGUUCUCUAAUCCGCAUGAGAUCCAUGGAUGAAGGCGGGGUAUCGCAAGACCUCGCGCGAUUGGAGCGCCGAUAUCAGAUUAGGUAGUUGGUGGGGUAAAGGCACACCAAGCCGACGAUCUGUAGCUGGUCUGAGAGGACGACCAGCCACACUGGGUUGGAGACACGCCCCAGUCUGUUACGGGAGGCAGCAGUGGGGAAUUUUGGACAAUGGGCGCAAGCCUGAUCCAGCCAUGCCGCGUGCAGGAUGAAGGCCUUCGGGUUGUAAACUGCUUUUGUACGGAACGAAAGGUUCUGCCCUAAUACGGUGGGAAUAUGACGGUACCGUAAGAAUAAGCACCGGCUAACUACGUGCCAGCAGCCGCGGUAAUACGUAGGGUGCGAGCGUUAAUCGGAAUUACUGGGCGUAAAGCGUGCGCAGGCGGUUAUGUAAGACAGAUGUGAAAUCCCCGGGCUCAACCUGGGAACUGCAUUAGUGACUGCAUAGCUGGAGUACGGCAGAGGGGGAUGGAAUUCCGCGUGUAGCAGUGAAAUGCGUAGAUAUGCGGAGGAACACCGAUGGCGAAGGCAAUCCCCUGGGCCUGUACUGACGCUCAUGCACGAAAGCGUGGGGAGCAAACAGGAUUAGAUACCCUGGUAGUCCACGCCCUAAACGAUGUCAACUGGUUGUUGGGUCUUCACUGACUCAGUAACGAAGCUAACGCGUGAAGUGACCGCCUGG
rnacentral:rRNA from 1 species